rnacentral:rRNA from 1 species
UACAGAGGGGGCAAGCGUUGUUCGGAAUUACUGGGCGUAAAGGGCGCGUAGGCGGCCUGUGCAAGUCAGUUGUGAAAUCUCCGAGCUUAACUCGGAACGGUCAACUGAUACUGCUCGGCUAGAGUGCGGAAGGGGCAACUGGAAUUCUUGGUGUAGCGGUGAAAUGCGUAGAUAUCAAGAGGAACACCUGCGGCGAAGGCGGGUUGCUGGGCCGACACUGACGCUGAGGCGCGAAAGCUAGGGGAGCGAACGGG